GUGGUUGUAGCUUAGUGGUAGAGCACUUGCCUAGCAUGUGUGAGACACUGGGUUUGAUUCUCAGCACCACA
rnacentral:tRNA from 1 species